CGGUGUUCAACUGGCGUGCCCGCGGGACGUCCUGCCGGUGAGCUCAUCCCGCGAGGGCGGCUCAACUUGAAAUCCCAUCGCGGUGCUCUUCAUUGAGUGUCGAGGUGGGCCGGCACGAUAACUUUUGAACAAAUUAUAGUGCUUAAAGCAGGCUAAAAUUUUGCCUGAAUACUGUGUAUAUGGAAUAAUGGAAUAGGACCUCGGUUUCUAUUUUGUUGGUUUUCGGAACCCCCGAGGUAAUGAUAAAAAGGAACGGAGGGGGGCAUUCUUAUUGCGACAUUAGAGGUGAAAUUCUUGGAUCGUCGCAAGACGGACUAAAGCGAAAGCAUUUGCCAAAAACGCUUUCAUUGAUCAAGAAAGAAAGUUAGAGGUUCGAAGGCGAUCAGAUACCGCCCUAGUUCUAACCAUAAACUAUGCCAGCUAGCGAUCCGCCGACGUCCCUCUGAUGACUCGGCGGGCAGCUUCCGGGAAACCAAAGCUUUUGGGUUCCGGGGGAAGUAUGGUUGCAAAGCUGAAACUUAAAGGAAUUGACGGAAGGGCACCCCCAGGAGUGGAGCCUGCGGCUUAAUUUGACUCAACACGGGGAAACCUCCCCAGGCCCAGACACUGGAAGGAUUGACAGAUUGAGAGCUCUUUCUUGAUUCAGUGGGUGGUGGUGCAUGGCCGUUUUUAGUCGGUGGAGCGAUUUGUCAGGUUAAUUCCGAUAACGGACGAGACUCUGACCUGAUAACUAGACGCACUUGCGGCAUCUCAAAGGUCCGCCGGCGGCUGGCUUUGCGCCCGUCGUCGCGCGCGAUUUUUACUGCCGGCGUACAAUAAAUUCUUCUUAGAGGGACAAGUGG
rnacentral:rRNA from 1 species